AUUCAUUUAGUGUCAUCAUUUGUAGUCCCCAAUCAUCCGACGCUGAUCCCCUCGAUUCGCGGCGCCCUCGCCUCCACCACUCUCCAACCACCCGACGCCGACCGCCAUCAAUUCACGCCCCCACCAGCUGCAUCGGUUCCCUCCAGCGCCCCGCCUCCUGGCGCAGAUCCGUGCACCCCUUGCCCUCUCCGGACUCGAUGAUUCACAGAUCCGCCCAGCUGCCCAGGCACUGACUACCGGCAUCCGGAUCUCCUGCUCCACUGCUCGCCGCCUCGGGGCUCUCCGGCGUUGGCUCAGCGCGACGGGCCCCCCAAUAGCCUAGUUCCGGAUCCCCCAACCGCCCAAGCCCCACAGGUCAAGCACCGGCCACCGAUGUCUGACGAACGAGCGAACUCCCCGCGGAUGCAGGAGGAGGAGGUGCAGGAGCGACCGCCGACCGUCCGUGUUUCACCAUCCCCUUCUUCGAUCACAAGGAAUCAUAAAAGCAUAUGGAGGAACUAUGUAUAGGCUACAAAGAAGCAUAAGAAGCAUUUUUAUAGCAGAAGCCAAGUGUUCUGAUGAUUUUGUUUUUUCAAUUGUGUUUUAUGUUAUUAGUUCAGCAUGUACAUAUAUUGACAUGAUUUAUGGCAUGGCAUCUGUCAUCUUUGUUAUAUUUAUGACAUCGUUCUUGAUUGAUGUGUGCGACAUGAAUGAUGGUUUUUUUAACAUCCUGACCAUCAUUGUGUCGCUCAUUAUCGUAUUUUGUAUAUCGUUUAUGGGUUCACGGAUAUGAAAUGACAAGUUUCUUAUUUUUGA